rnacentral:sRNA from 1 species
GCACGCGAAAAUUUCAAAACAAUUUCGUCCCGAUCAAAAGUGCAAGUGCUCGAAUUGCAAGUGAAUGGAUAGUGAUAUGGAUACGGCCACGGUACAGACCAGUGGAACAGCACAGCAGCAGACGGCCACGGUGAAGCGCAAUAUUGAACAGCAGCCGCUGGCCAAGUGGCCGCUGCCAAUUGCAAUUUGGUACCCCCGACAAGCUCAACAUCAUCAGCAACAACAUUCGGAGACAUUGGCUAUGUAGUCACUGUCGAGCACUGCUACCACAAGCAGCAACGACCGCUGGGUAUACCAGAUGCAGUGUCCAGGCCUCCUGCUGCGGCAUCGCCAGCAAGGAAAUGCAGUACCAACAACCAGAUGGCGCAGGUUCCUGUGGCGGCAAAGCGUGGGAGGAGGAAGCUAACAUCUAACAUUGCUGCAGCAAUCCACCCCCCCACCGCCACUUCUGCCCAAUAUUCUAUCUUUUCAAAACAUUCCAAAAAGUGCCAUUUGUGGAUGACCAGUUUAGAAAAUGUAUUAACUAUUUAAAGCGGCCGGAAAUGUUGGAGGCAAAAAUUAACUUCGUGUCUCACUUGACAUAUUUCAAGAACGAACCUUUUUUCAUCAUGAUAGAUGAGUAUCAUAUCCCUCAUAUGACAUUUUUUCCGAUACCGAAGUGGAAAGUGCUGGCGAUAGCUGCAAGCAACGGGUCAGCUACGGCAUUCAAAUAUUUGUACAUUCGCGUGGUUCCAGUCACAGACGAGUCGCACCUAGGCUCGCGAAAAAUAUGGCCGGAUUUGAUGAUGUUCUAAG